CCAGGUGGACUGAUACCCAUUUCAUCCCGGCAUCUCUCCUCGGGGACACUCAUCUUUAGCACUUCAAGGACACACUCAUUCCUACGGUUUUGGAAAAGGAGCCAAUUAAUGAUUGGUAACGUGUGGACAUUCCGGGCAAGGAGAGUGCAUGUCAACCGGCCAGGACACGCAGACUCUAGGAGCUAUGGAGACGCGAGGGGGCACCCACGGGUCGCUUUCCCUCCAGGCCGAGGGAAAGCGGUGCCCUGGGUGGGUGGGCGCGGAGCAGAUGCAAGCACGCCCGCCUGCUGGCCAUGGAGCCCCCGAUGCGCACUAGCCACAUGAAAGCCCAUGCGAUGGAGAGCGGACAAGGGGUAAAAAACCCGAUAAUUACGACUGCUGUGCUCUUUGCCUAGACAGAGACGCUUCAGGGCAGACCCUGCAAGGGAAGAAGAAACGACACAAGACCACAGGGUUAGGCAGGACAGCACACACGGGGGACAGGCCACCACACUAAGCACAAGUCAUCAGUGUGCAAGGAGGAGCAGAGGCCAGCGAUUCAGAGAGGGGACUGGCCACCUGGGCUAACCGGGUGACCGCGAGUCAGUGUGCGGGCUCACGUGAACUUCGCCGAGGGGCUCAGGUGCAGGACCAGGCCCCAAGCUUCAGGUAGAAGUUUGAGGCCAAUCCCAGAUCCCAGGCGGCUUCCCUGACCAGACCAGUGGUGGACACAGAGGGCACCUAUCUACAGAGGUGGGAAUCAGGGCUGGACCCAAGUUUCUGCAACGCUGCUGCCUCACCUGGUAGCCCACGUCCACCAGAACGGGGUCAGGCCAGAUGAGCCCACAGCUGCAGCCCUCCCCCUGCUGCUGACCUGGACUCCAGGACCAGGCCCCCAGAGCGGGCCCCACCCUCAGGGUCUUCCCACAGCCCUGCGCCUCAGACCUCCUCUCUGCCACCUCUCAGCCCUCAGGGCUGCGACCAGACUUUUUCCUCCAGACUUUCACAGGUGCCUGUGGUCUCCUCAGGCCUCCGAGCUCCCUAGUAACCCAGGAACCAGCCAGCUCCAGCUCCAGGAGUAGGCUGGCAGGCUGGGCGGACACCAGGGCACUGGGCAUGGAAGGACACACCUUCACAUGCCCCCAGGGCCAGGGCCUGUGGGGGCCACACUGUGGCCAGGACAGCAAAGAGCUCAGCCAAGGCGUGCCUGCAGAGGGCUGUUGUGAAAACAGCAAGGCCACUGGGCCCAACCACCUAAAAUCAGGUCCACCCAGGCCAGGAGCCCCGUGUGCCACCAAGCCAUGCCUCACAUGUCCCUUUCCUCUUAGCCACAGAGACGGAAACAAAAGCUAGACCAUUUGUCCUUGCUGUGCCUCCCCAUUUUUUUUUUUUAUCUUGGAAUAAUAACAGUAAAACAAAUGAAAACUCCUAAAAAUGAAUGCAGGACCAUGUGGGCACAAACCUUGAAGGAGCAUGUGGCACU